GUUUAGCCCUGAUGGAAACGGCAUCCUUUUGUGGCGGGGUUCGCCACAAAAGAUAUAGUGGACAGCAGGAAAUAGC
rnacentral:sRNA from 1 species